rnacentral:rRNA from 1 species
UUUCCAGACUCCUACGGGAGGCAGCAGUGAGGAAUAUUGGUCAAUGGGCGGGAGCCUGAACCAGCCAUGCCGCGUGAAGGCGAGUGCCCUACGGGCGUUAAACUUCUUUUGUGCGGGAGCAAUAAGGGCCACGCGUGGCCCGAUGAGAGUACCGCACGAAUAAGCAUCGGCUAACUCCGUGCCAGCAGCCGCGGUAAUACGGGGGAUGCGAGCGUUAUCCGGAUUUAUUGGGUUUAAAGGGUGCGUAGGCGGCGCUUCAGGUCAGCGGUGAAAUACCGGGGCUCAACCCCGGGGCUGCCGUUGAAACUGGCAGUCUCGAGUUGGAGAGAAGUAUGCGGAAUGCGCGGUGUAGCGGUGAAAUGCAUAGAUAUCGCGCAGAACUCCGAUUGCGAAGGCAGCAUGCCGGCUCCACACUGACGCUGAGGCACGAAAGCGUGGGUAUCGAACAGGAUUAGAUACCCGGGUACC